GACAUAGGUCGCAAACGUUAUCCGGAAUUAUUGGGCGUAAAGAGUGCGUAGGUGGUUUAAUAAGUUACUGGUGGUAAAUCGAGGCUCAACCUCGUGGAAGUUAGUAAUACUGUUGAACUAGAGGACCGGAGAGGUUAAUGGAAUGAUUCAUGUAGGGGUAAAAUCCGUAAAUAUGAAUUGGAACACCAAAUGGCGAAGGCAGUAACUAUUCGAUUCCUGACAUUGAGGCACGAAAGCCGUGGGGAGCAAGACGGA
rnacentral:rRNA from 1 species